ACCCAAGUAGCUCAGUUGGUCAGAGCGAGGUCGCAAGUCCGUCAGCUAUAAAAUCCACAGACCUUUAAAUGUGUGGUUGAGAGACGCAGGUUCGAGCCCUGCCUUGGGUG
rnacentral:tRNA from 1 species